AUUGAACGCUGGCGGCAUGCCUUACACAUGCAAGUCGAACGGCAGCACGGGUGCUUGCACCUGGUGACGAGUGGCGAACGGGUGAGUAAUACAUCGGAACAUGUCCUGUAGUGGGGGAUAGCCCGGCGAAAGCCGGAUUAAUACCGCAUACGAUCUACGGAUGAAAGCGGGGGACCUUCGGGCCUCGCGCUAUAGGGUUGGCCGAUGGCUGAUUAGCUAGUUGGUGGGGUAAAGGCCUACCAAGGCGACGAUCAGUAGCUGGUCUGAGAGGACGACCAGCCACACUGGGACUGAGACACGGCCCAGACUCCUACGGGAGGCAGCAGUGGGGAAUUUUGGACAAUGGGCGAAAGCCUGAUCCAGCAAUGCCGCGUGUGUGAAGAAGGCCUUCGGGUUGUAAAGCACUUUUGUCCGGAAAGAAAUCCUUGGCCCUAAUACGGUCGGGGGAUGACGGUACCGGAAGAAUAAGCACCGGCUAACUACGUG
rnacentral:rRNA from 1 species